GGCUGAGCUUAUUGGAGAGUCUGGAAGAGGCCUUUGGAUUCUUUUCUCUAGCUUUGAGGGGCUGCUUCCCUGUUUUUACACUAAUGCUCUGCUUCAGCACAAGUGGACAACUGAAUUGAAGGAUCAACAAGAAGAGCUGCUAGUUAGGUCUUAUCAGGUGGCUUUUUUCCUGUCAAGUUGCAGGUUUGAAGGAAAAGCAUGAAAGAUUGCUGUGCUACAGGAAUGACC
rnacentral:lncRNA from 1 species